rnacentral:rRNA from 1 species
GAGUAAUGUCUGGGAAACUGCCUGAUGGAGGGGGAUAACUACUGGAAACGGUAGCUAAUACCGCAUAACGUCGCAAGACCAAAGAGGGGGACCUUCGGGCCUCUUGCCAUCGGAUGUGCCCAGAUGGGAUUAGCUAGUAGGUGGGGUAACGGCUCACCUAGGCGACGAUCCCUAGCUGGUCUGAGAGGAUGACCAGCCACACUGGAACUGAGACACGGUCCAGACUCCUACGGGAGGCAGCAGUGGGGAAUAUUGCACAAUGGGCGCAAGCCUGAUGCAGCCAUGCCGCGUGUAUGAAGAAGGCCUUCGGGUUGUAAAGUACUUUCAGCGGGGAGGAAGGGAGUAAAGUUAAUACCUUUGCUCAUUGACGUUACCCGCAGAAGAAGCACCGGCUAACUCCGUGCCAGCAGCCGCGGUAAUACGGAGGGUGCAAGCGUUAAUCGGAAUUACUGGGCGUAAAGCGCACGCAGGCGGUUUGUUAAGUCAGAUGUGAAAUCCCCGGGCUCAACCUGGGAACUGCAUCUGAUACUGGCAAGCUUGAGUCUCGUAGAGGGGGGUAGAAUUCCAGGUGUAGCGGUGAAAUGCGUAGAGAUCUGGAGGAAUACCGGUGGCGAAGGCGGCCCCCUGGACGAAGACUGACGCUCAGGUGCGAAAGCGUGGGGAGCAAACAGGAUU